CAGCCGCCGCGGUAAUACGAAGGGGGCUAGCGUUGUUCGGAUUUACUGGGCGUAAAGCGCACGUAGGCGGAUCGAUCAGUCAGGGGUGAAAUCCCAGAGCUCAACUCUGGAACUGCCUUUGAUACUGUCGAUCUGGAGUAUGGAAGAGGUGAGUGGAAUUCCGAGUGUAGAGGUGAAAUUCGUAGAUAUUCGGAGGAACACCAGUGGCGAAGGCGGCUCACUGGUCCAUUACUGACGCUGAGGUGCGAAAGCGUGGGGAGCAAACAGGAUUAGAUACCCGUGUAGUCCCUGUCUCUUAUAC
rnacentral:rRNA from 1 species